AAACUCAUUCGAUUUUGAUCA
rnacentral:miRNA from 1 species